rnacentral:rRNA from 1 species
UGGGGAAUAUUGGACAAUGGGCGCAAGCCUGAUCCAGCAACGCCGCGUGGAGGACGAAGGUCUUCGGAUCGUAAACUCCUGUCAGACGGGACGAAGGUGCGUGGGUGAAUAAUCCAUGUACUUGACGGUACUGUCAGAGGAAGCCCCGGCUAACUCCGUGCCAGCAGCCGCGGUAAUACGGAGGGGGCGAGCGUUAUUCGGAAUUAUUGGGCGUAAAGGGCGCGUAGGCGGCUUUGCAAGUCAAAGGUGAAAUCCCUCGGCUCAACUGAGGAACUGCCUUUGAAACUGUGAGGCUUGAGUCCGGGAGGGGGUAGCGGAAUUCCCAGUGUAGCGGUGAAAUGCGUAGAUAUUGGGAGGAACACCAGUGGCGAAGGCGGCUACCUGGACCGGAACUGACGCUGAUGCGCGAAAGCGUGGGUAGCAAACAG